CGGCAAUUUAUGUCGAUGGCUAAUGAACGGAAUUCAAUUAGCAUCGAGAAUCACACGCGGAAACAGGAAAUUUUACGCAGCUCUCUAGGUUGAGCCUGUGGUUACGAAGGAUCCCGGGUUAAAAGCAUAAUGCCAGCAGACGUAGCAACAACAACCAUCACCACAUCACCAACAGUAGCAGAAAUAUCAUCACUAUCUCUCGUCCAGCUCCUCAGCCGUCACUGAUCGUAUCACCUUGACCACCACAACCGGCAACAGCAGCACCAAUCCAAAAGCAGUCAUACGCCGGAAGCGUUUCUCGCAUCACCCCAUCUGUUAUAAGUUGUAAUUUUUUUUAUCUCCCACGGCGGAAAUGGCUCAGUUUUCGAUCCGGAUGCGAAAAACUUAAAAAAGGUUCCAUGAAAUCGGCAAGGAAUCCAACGAGCGAAUGAGCCGCAACCCAAUCAAUAUCUGUGGAUUGGAGGCAACAUUGGAGAAGGUUAUCUGGCCACGGAUUCAUCGGAACAACUGAGCCAAAGUUUGCUGAAAGAAUCUCGGGAACGCCUACAGUAGGAUUCUGAGCUGCAAGAGCGUAUAAGCGAUCAUAAAAAAUACCAAUUUCUGCUGUCAUUGAAGCAAAGGUGUUGCUGAGUUAAAUGAAAUGUGUCACUCCGUGCGAGGAGUAGUCAUCGUUUGGUCGCAUUCUUGCUUGUUUGCCCAUUGAAUCCCGGUUGGGGGGAAUAAUAACCUUGAGAACGCAGUUCAGCGUUACUGAUCUUGUAGCAGCUUUAGCUGCAUAUUCCGGUACCUUUUCGGAAAUUAUGCAGUUGGACGUCGGUCAACAUCGCCUGAUGGCGCACCUAACCACUCAGUGGAAAGAAAAAUUCGGAUUAUGUAACUAUUUUAGGAUGGUAACAUAUUACCUACUUCAACCAGGGUGAAGAUAACGAAUCCUACUUGGAUGUGGUCAUGGAAAUUUUCAAUGUAGGACUGAGUACCCGAACGUAGAAAAAGACAUACCAUUAACAGUCCUAAUUCUGUGCAUUUUGGAAGAUUUUUCUUCAUUCAUAAGUUUA